rnacentral:rRNA from 1 species
CACGUAGUUAGCCGGGGCUUCUUAGUCAGGUACCGUCUUUUUUUCUUCCCUGCUGAUAGAGCUUUACAUACCGAAAUACUUCUUCACUCACGCGGCGUCGCUGCAUCAGGGUUUCCCCCAUUGUGCAAUAUUCCCCACUGCUGCCUCCCGUAGGAGUUUGGGCCGUGUCUCAGUCCCAAUGUGGCCGUUCACCCUCUCAGGCCGGCUACUGAUCGUCGCCUUGGUAGGCCGUUACCCCACCAACCAGCUAAUCAGACGCGGGCUCAUCUUAUACUACCGGAGUUUUUCACACAGAAACAUGCGUUCCCGUGCGCUUAUGCGGUAUUAGCAGUCAUUUCUAACUGUUAUCCCCCUGUAUAAGGCAGAUUACCCACGUGUUACUCACCCGUCCGCCGCUAAGUCAAUUUCGAUUCCAUCCGAAAACUUCCUCAAAAUCGCUUCGCUCGACUUGCAUGUGUUAGGCACGCCGCCAGCGUUCAUCCUGAGCCAGGAUCAAACUCU